CAAAGAUUAAGCCAGUGCAUGUG
rnacentral:misc_RNA from 1 species